GACGACCCUUGCUAACGUUAUUCGGAAUCACUGGGCUUAAAGGGUGCGUAGGCGGUGCAGAAAGUCGGGUGUGAAAUCCCUCAGCUCAACUGAGGAAUUGCGCCCGAAACUACUGUGCUCGAGGAAGAUAGAGGUACGCGGAACUUAGGGUGGUGCGGUGAAAUGCGUUGAUAUCCUCAGGAACACCGGUGGCGAAAGCGGCGUACUGGGUCUUUUCUGUCGCUGAGGCGCGAAAGCUAGGGUAGCGAUCGGG
rnacentral:rRNA from 1 species